rnacentral:tRNA from 2 species
GGAGAGGUGGCCGAGUGGUCGAAGGCGCCAGAUUGGAAUUCUGGUAUACGGUUACACCGUAUCGUGGGUUCGAAUCCCACCCUCUCCGCCA